GUAUUGACCGACAAAGCUGUUCAGCGGUUUUAGCCCUGAAAAGGCGCGGUAUGACAGGGUCGGGGAGUCCUGGGAUCCAAGGAGCUGCACAGCUGUUGAGAACGCUGACAAGGGUCCUGAGAGGGUUUCUUCCUCGGACACUUCGCGAUUGAUGUGUAAAUGAACUAAUGCACUGGAUUUUGGGUCGUCCAUUUACAGAUUUCUUCUCAGAUCCAGUAAGGUUACAAGUCAAGCUGUUGCUUUUACUUAAGAGGAUUGGAUACAGUGUAUGUAACCUGGGCACAAAACAUCAUUGUUCUCUAACAUGGUUGUUGUGCUGAUAACAGGAGUCUGUGGAAGUGGAAAGACAACUGUGGCGCGAGCUUUGGCAAAGAAGUUGUCAUGCCCUUACAUGGAUGCAGACAAUUUCCAUUCACAAGGUAACAUCACAAAAAUGAAGCAAGGAACCCCACUCACUGACGAGGACAGACAACCUUGGCUCCUGGCUUUGCACAAAGUUAUUGAAAGGUAUUCAUGAAUAAUAUCUGUUAGUUAUAAUUUGUUUAAUGUACUAUGACUGAGGAAAAAUCCAGGGCAGGAAAUAAUUAUUUCAAUAUAUUGGUCAAGCACCCAGCCUGAUAACUGAAAUUACUCCAGAUUGUAGUGGUAUAUAUUGAAGUACUAUUGUCUGAGUUUAUCACAUCUGGAACAAAAUUUGAGUGUUGAAAGUCUCUGUUUGAGACUUUUUUGCUGAUGGAGUGGUAACCUUUGUCUGUUCCACAAGGACAUCACAAGAGAAUGAAUCCUUUUAAAUAUGACCAAAUUAGAGUAAUCCUAUAACUAGCAAAAUGUAACUGACAGGUGUUGAUGGACACUUACCCAGCCCAGUUAUUCUAGUAAAUGUUUCACUAAA